UGGAGUGAGGGAAGCCGCGGCAAGGAGCCAAAGAAGCGGCCGCGUGUUGGUCUCUCAGUCAGCUGGACUCUCGCCACCUCUCUUUGUCAAAAUUGCUUGGUCCAUGGCCGAAUUCAGCCGCUCUGCCCACAACGCUCUUCUGACCUUCUUGGGCACCGUAGGACUUGUGUCCCCACUCUGAGGAGACUCCACAACCAGAAAUGUGGUAGGGUAUCGUCCCUGGCGAUCAUCAUCAUCAAACAAAGUUGUCGUUGCGUACUUAAUAAUCUCGGCUCACCUCGGUAACGCUAUCCAGCAGUGUAUUGGCGCCAAAUUCACAAGCAACAACAUUUCACCCAGCCUGGUCUCAGGAGAAAGAAGAUGGUGUUCCACUCCAUGAGUCCUGACCGGCAAUGAUGCAUGGAAUGUCCCAGCGGGCAGAUGUGUGUGGCCCCAAGCUAGGACGGUGCCACCCGUCGUCGUCGUCGUCUUCCAUGCCUAUGUGCAAGUGAAUCGAAAUUUGCUUCUUCCAGCAUACUCUAAACAAGACUUGGAGUGGCACAGCAGAAGAACCGCCGUCUAUCGACUACUCCCAACCUGAGCAAAUUUUCUUCAAUAUGUGCUUCUCUUUCGCAUUGUUCUAUUCAGCUGUGCUGUUCGUGCAAAAAAACAGUGGUCUCCUCCCUUUAGAUGAAGAAAAGCAGAAAAAGACACUCCGUAUGCCCGAGCUAAAAGUUACAGAAAAAGAGGUGCUAAGGACACGCUGCGAGCUUUUAACUCCCUUGGAACAAACGGCGUCGAUCAACCGGCUUUCGAUCGAGCGGACUUUCCGAUGUGUGCCUAAUGCUAAAAUAGCAACCCCUGUAAGGGGUGCACAGAUAAAAAAGUUUGGGGGUGUAUAAAUCACUGUUACAAAUGGCGUCCUAAGUGUGCAAAGUUCAAGGAGGCGCGUUGUGUGGGUUCAUAUUCCAAAAAGAGGAGAGCUCUUGAAUACGUGAAAGCAGCAGAAGAUGUGGGUUCGAGUCCUACAGCCUAGCGAAACUUUUGAGUUCUUUCAUCAGUAAGGAGAGCACUUGUCGUCUGCUUUCUCCUUGUUUGUACCGGAUACCGCCUUGAUACUCUGCUAAGUGCUGGUCAUCACGCAAGGAAUCGGCUUCAAAUAAAUAAAGAGUUCACUGUGUGUUUCA